rnacentral:lncRNA from 1 species
CUCAUCGAGAUGCUAUUAUGCUGUGGUGUCCCUAGAGGGAUCCAUUGUAAGAGAAUUUUAUUCUUUCCUAGAUACGUCAAAAACUCACAGGGGAUGUAUUCACCUUCUCGAUCGGAUCAAAGAGUAUUAAUACUUUUUUUAAUUUAUUUUUUUAUUUUAUUACAGAAUUGUUUGAAUAUUUUGAACAAUGCAGACUUGUGUUUCAUCAAGUGG